GGCGGGGCCUGUUGAUAAUCGAGACCGCGCUAAGUGCCGCCAGAGUCCCGCGAGCCCAAGCGGAAGUUAGCAGCUGUGCUCGGUGCAGUCUGAAAUGCUGCCAGUUGUUUUAAUUACUGUAAAUAAGUAGCACACACCGCUGUGUCUUAACAUGGACCCGUAUGGCGACACAGGCUUUGGAAGAGUCCGCGUGUCUCGAUCCGUUGUGAAUAUGUUCGAAAACGCCCAAAUGCGAAGAAUACUGAAUCAUAGCCUGGGUUUAGAAUAUGAUUAUGAGCUCAGUGGAGAUGAUGAAGAGACCUGGGUACAGCAUCAGAUAGACAUGGCAAACCUGACUUCCUGUGGGUAUGGUCAUGGCCCUCAUGGCCAUCAUGGCCCCAGGUCUUCCAGCUUUACUUAUCGACAACCUCAGAGAUCCACUGCUUCAACCUGUUGCCCAUCGCCUGUUAAAGUUCCACCAGGGGAUAGCGAUAGUGAAAGAAAAACCAGACUAUUACAAGAAUCUAAAAAAGAAAAGGAAAGGGCUGAGAGGAAGAAAAAGAAAAAGAUGAAACAGAAAGAAAGAAAACGCCGGGAGAAGUUGAAAAAGGAGAAUAAAGUCACUGGGAAAAAAGAAGAAGAAGGUGAUGAUGAUGAUGAUGAUGCAGAGCGAUCGGAACCAGAGGAGUGUGAGAGAGAUAAAAGUGAAGAAGGAGCAAAGGGUGAAGCGUCUGAGGAUCAGGAGUCAAAAAGUGAAGUAGAAUCCAGUAAUGAAGACAAUGACUCGUGUGCAUCAGAGGUUUGAAAACUUAUUUUUUUAACCUUGUUUUUUGUUUAUUAUUAAUGUGUGAAUAAAUGCUUUAUGUAGAGUAGUUAAGGUUAUAAA
rnacentral:lncRNA from 1 species